GGUGUGGUGUGUGGUUGAUAUGAUGGUGUGGUGUGGUGUGGCAGUGCAAAUAUCUCUUGCCUGUCAUAGCCACGUCAACACCCCUCCUCCUCCACUAAGGCCCCACUCCCAUACUGCCCUCCUCUCCCCCCCAAGACUCCACUCCUAUAAAGUCCUCCCGCUCCUCCCCAGGCCCUACUCCCAUUAUAUCCUCCCUCUCCCACCCAGGCCCCACUCCCAUAAUGCCCUCCCCUUCCCCUCUCCAAAAGACCUCACUCGUACUUCACCCAUCCCCUUCCAUCAUUUUCUACAAGGCGCCGCAUGUCCCCUUGCUGCAGUGUGGCACAUGCACGCUGGAAUGGGAGAGGCGGCGGGGAGGAGCCUUGCCUCGUACUGUCUUGUCCUCACACACCAGUUCACCAGCAGCAGCAGGGAGUUCACCACUUGCUAUCUCCCAACAGCUGCCGUGUAACCUGGCCUCUCCAAGUAAUGGCCGCGGUGACACGUGGCUUCACUUCCUGUCGCUCGCUGAGGAGCUUUUAGCGUGCACUGUACUCGUACAACACACAGACACACGCACACGACAGUCAUGGAGAGAGUCUUGCCGUGCCCGAUGCUGCUCCUGCUGCUCCUGGCGCUAAGUCCUGGAGGUGCACCAAGCCCCACCCUGGCCCAGGACUGCAGUGCUGCCGACACAGUAGUGAAAAAAGGACAACUGUAACGCUCCUUUUUAUUAUUUCUGUGUUUCUUUGAGUCUCCCCAAUAAUUGUUUUCUUUUGUAGCUUGCGGUGAAGAGGAGGAUAAUAGCGGUAAUUAAAGGUUUAGUGAUUAUAUGAAAAAGUAUAUUUAUAAGGCGUGUAUUCGUGGGAGUGAUUUAGAAGUCUUGAAACAUUUGUUAUAAAUAGUCUUUACUUAUUUCAACUGUGGUUUUCUCUAAUCAGUGGUAAUACGAAUAAUAGGAUUACAUCAUGUUGCGUCAGCCUACCAGUAACUCAUAAGGUGUCAUUCCCUAGCUUAUAAAAUAUGUUAGUAAUUUAGAAUUCAAUUAUUAACUUCAACUAAUGUCCAGCCUAUAUGCUCACCUUGCUAGCCAAUUAUUCCUGCAUUUUUAUUUAAACUCACGGUUCAGUAAAAUUAUUUGUGAAAGAAGAGAGAGAGAGAACUAGCUAAGGUUCCAAUAACUUCAGAGGCCUGGGGGUGGGUGUUGAGGGGGAGAGCACAGAAUGGCGUCUCCCUUCCCUCUGGCAACAGGUCUCCUGCAUGCUGGAAGGAGUGCGAGACCAACACUGUCCAGGCAAUGCCCACGAUCCUCAGCGUGGUGGCUCACGGCCCUUCCAGGUGGUUGACCGGACACCCACCUGAAAACUGUCGGUUCCAGAAACUCCGUAUCUUAAAUUACACCAAUUGGGACAGGUGCAUACACCCUCCAUCCACCACCUCUGAGAAGUCCUCUACUCCUAAGCUGACACUGGAGAAGAUAAUGAUCAUAACGACGUCAGCAGCAGGAGUAGUGGCGGUUGGUGUGAUGGUGAUGGUAGUGUUCUAUUGGAAGUGGAAAGCUGUCAUAUCGCCACGCCCAGCCACUCUCUCCCCGCCCCCCGAUCAGCACGUCAUAGAAAACGACAUCUACGAACCAUUUGACGGUGACGCUAACGACGCAGCGCCGCAAACCUUCCAGAACGACCUGUACGAGUCCUUCAGCGGCCACGAGCGCCGGCGCGACACCUAGGAGAGAGAGAGAGAGAGAGAGAGAGAGAGAGAGAGAGAGAGAGAGAGUUUCCUUUGAGUCUAUUGGUCAGUUUCACAUUGAGCAAAGAACACACACCAAACCUGACACAGAUAUGCCGAGGAUUGUCAAUUGUGGCCUAUAAUAUGAUUACACACACACACACACACACACACACACACACACACACACACACACACACACACACACAGACUGAGGUA